rnacentral:rRNA from 1 species
AAACAGAUGCUAAUACCGGAUAACAACAGAUGAUGCCUAUCAACUGUUUUAAAAGAUGGUUCUGCUAUCACUCGUUGGGAUCGGACCUGCGGUGCAUUAGCUAGUUGGUAGGGUAACGGCCUACCAAGGCGAUGAUGCAUAGCCGAGUUGAGAGACUGAUCGGCCACAUUGGGGACUGAGACACGGCCCAAACUCCUACGGGAGGCAGCAGUAGGGAAAUCUUCCACAAUGGACGCAAGUCUGAUGGAGCAACGCCGCGUGAGUGUAAGAAGGGUUUCGGCUCGUAAAGCUCUGUUGUUGGUGAAGAAGGACAGGGGUAGUAACUGACCUUUGUUUGACGGUAAUCAAUUAGAAAGUCACGGCUAACUACGUGCCCAGCAGCCGCGGGUAAU